rnacentral:lncRNA from 1 species
UCAUUUGUCUUCUCUCAGCGAUUUAACAGUAAAAUUUACUAAAUGUCUAUAACUAUUUUCAAAACUCGCAGUACUUCUGAAAAUAAAAAUUAUCAAACACUUAACUGAUUCUCUUCAUAACUAAUUACUUUUAUAGCACAGCUAACAACAAUUAUUUUAAAGAUUACAGCAUUCCCAAACUGGUACUAAGAGCAGUGAUGAUACGAGUAAUGUGGCUCUUCUUAUGGAGAGCAAUAUCGCACAUGUUCAGCUUCUAGGAGAGUUGUAGGUCCUACUUCACAUAUCCCCUAAUUAUAAUUACACACAUGCAGCGUUGCUCUCCGUAAAAUAUGCGACACCGCUCACUCUACAAAAAAAACCCAAAAAUAAAACACAAAAAUCUCAUUUAACAAACAUCGAAUUAAUCCUAAAGGCUCAUCUCAUCAUUUCAGAUUAGGGCAUGUUAACCCCAUGUUCACAAAAAAAAAAUCAGCCAUUUUAUUAUUCCCUUUACAUAACAGACAUUAGAACUCAUCAUGAAAAUUAAUUCAUCAUUGACGAUUAUAUCGAUAUUGGGUUGUCUUGAACUUUUUCCAUGCUAUAGUGCUGGCCGAAAAGUUUUGUGUAAAUUUUGAAUAAGUGUGGGACUAUUAGCACUCUUCUAAUUUCCUUUUAAAAUCUUUUUUCAUUUUUAUCAAAACCUAUUUUAAUUCUCAAAAUAUUCUUUUCCAUUUUUUCAAUUUCAUAUA